GUCGCCAAGAAGACCGACGACGUCGCCGGUGACGG
rnacentral:sRNA from 1 species